GUCUUCAGAACACCUAACAAAUAACCCAGUUCCUACAGUGCAGUGUACGUUAACUAAAAGGAAAAUUUUUGGAUACCUAAUGGAAUUGUGCUCCAUUUGGAGUAACUGAACACACUACAACUUAACCAGAUUGAUAGUGAUGUGGUUCAUGGACCAGGUGCUGCAAAUACUGUGACAUCUACAGUACUUACUCCUCUGGUAGUUUCUUCCAAGCUGAGUGUCUGGCUUGCUGGUAUAUGAGCUUGGAGCACACCGAGAGUCUAAAAAAUCAAACCAGUUUGAGAACCACUGAUGAGAUACCAGAGUCCUCUGGCCAUGCAUUUAGAACCACUGCCGGACUAGGAAUGUCACAUUAGUGACCAUGUGAGGUGGAUGGUGACUGUGAGGACAGUGUGUGUUCAGGGCAUUGCAACACUGGGCUACAGCCUGAGAACACUGCAGGUAAGUUAAACAUCUGUCUUAAGGAGUUAGAAAAUUAUCU
rnacentral:lncRNA from 13 species